GCGGACGUGGUGCACGGUGCACCGUUGCUUUACAUGGGGAUUGAGGUAUAAGCUUAAACAAGCAGCUAGACGGGGUUCGACUCCCCGCGUCCGCA